rnacentral:lncRNA from 1 species
GACUAUAUUACAUGGAUUUAUUGUGAUGGUGUAGGUAGACUAUAUUACAUGGAUUUAUUGUGAUGGUGUAGACUAUAUUACAUGGAUUUAUUGUGAUGGUGUAGGUAGACUAUAUUACAUGGAUUUAUUGUGAUGGUGUAGGUAGACUAUAUUACAUGGAUUUAUUGUGAUGGUGUAGACUAUAUUACAUGGAUUUAUUGUGAUGGUGUAGACUAUAUUACAUGGAUUUAUUGUGAUGGUGUAGACUAUAGUACAUGGAUUUAUUGUGAUGGUGUAGACUAUAUUACAUGGAUUUAUUGUGAUGGUGUAGGUAGACUAUAUUACAUGGAUUUAUUGUGAAGGUGUAGACUAUAUUACAUGGAUUUAUUGUGAUGGUGUAGACUAUAGUACAUGGAUUUAUUGUGAUGGUGUAGACUAUAUUACAUGG